AUUAAUAUUCAAAAAAAAAAAAAAAAAUCUGUUGUUAUCAGUUUUUUAAGUGCUGAUUAUACGUCCCCCCAUAGGGGGACCGUCUAUAGUAAAUGGAUUUUUGGAAGCGGGAGAUGGACGCGGGGCUUGCUCCGUCCACUCCACGCAUCGGCCCGUUAUUGCAGUGCCUCCGGGAACGGUGCACAUCUU